ensembl:processed_transcript Gm10649 predicted gene 10649
GGGCUCGCCAAGCAGCAGUGGCUGCAGUUCAGCCAGUGUGGGUAUUCAUUAUUAAAGAAAUGGACCCGGAUCUUUUUACUAAGUUUUUACCUCCUUUAGGGAGAGCUGGUUUUGCCCUGGAUCGAAGCUCCCUGCAAAAUCUAGGUUAGAACAGCGCGGAGCAGCCUCCGCGCGCUCGCCAGCCUCCCAGCACCCUUGUCCCGGGCCAGCCUGGCGGGCACCUGGUCUACUGCCGGCAGCCCACCUCCUUGAGCCGACCCGCUUCCCCUGCCCUCUGCACUGGCCUGACACCCCGGGGCCUCCCUUGCGCUUCCCGACCCCCUCCCACCACUGUCGGUGCAAAGUGACAGUCGCUGCACUCACCUUUUCUAGGACAUGGUAGGGAGGCUGGGGCGGGGGAGGGGGCCAGCGAGACUCCCGCCGCCUCCGCUGCUGCUGCCGCCAACAGCAAGUCCAAUACCGGCUGAUCGGCAAUCAGGAUGGAGAGGAUAGCAAUCCUGGCAGUCGCCCUACUGACGAUGUCUGUGCUUCUAGGAGUCACAGCAUACAACAUGUCUACUGACCUCAUUUGAUGUCUUCAAACUCAGGGGAAGAGACCUGUGAGUUAUGAUUAGAGUAAAAACCUGGGGGUCACAGUGAUGAAAGGAAGCAACAACAGCAUUACAAGAUACAUGUCUACAUUGAACUAAUACUAGCUCCAGGCUAUCAUGGCAGAGACAACACAGCAGUGGGAGCCCAGGGCAGCUGGUUCCUUGCAGACUCUCUGACUACAGAGUCAGGGAGCCAUGGGAUACAUGUUUACAGUGAUGUUUUCUACCUCAGUUAACAUGAUCAUUUCAGCGAGGAAGCUGUCUUAAAUUAUCCUUAGUGUACAUAGUCUUUAGUUAUCAAGCGCAGGAACUCUGUUUGCCAUUUUAGCUCAUUAUAUCACCCCCCCCCAAGUCAAAUAAAAGAUAGAAUUCACUCUUUCAAUUUCCCAGGCCAAACCUCAGCCUAUUUCAUGAUUCCUGCUUAAUGUCUAUGACCAACUUGAGGCCUCCUUAAAAUGUAUGCUGUCCUUUUUGCUUUAAUUUCUACAUGAUGGGGGGGAGGGUUAUUUUAGAAAGAGUAAAGGAUUACAUGUUCAAAAUUAAACAUAGGAAUUAUUAUUUAUUUUCAUUGGGGAAAAAAGGAAUGAAAGCUGCCAGAUCUCACAAAUGUUAGAAAUUCCAUAAAAUUACUGGAGUGGUUUUAUUAUUUGACUGUUCAAUAUAUUUCAGCAUCCUUUCUAGGUUACAUAGUUAUUGAUGAUCUUUUUGUAAGCCAAACAUUAUGUAAUAUUUUCUGUAGAAAGAUUAGAAAGAUAACCAACUCACUCUCUGCUCCAACUUGGUGGACUGACAUUUGAAAAAUAUUAAUGGUUUAGAAAAGUUGGAUGUAGCAUCAAAACUCAUUAUUGGUAAUGCCAUAUAAAUUGUUCUCAUUUUUUUUUCAUAAAUGAACUGCUUUAGACCUACUGUAAGAUAGGACUGAAAGCUUGUAUUGUAUAAAUCUAGGCACUCUGGUGAAUUUUAUUUCCUAUAAUUCUAAGACAAAAAGAAACAGAAUAAGAUAUAUUGUAGUAUUGUAGUGCAUAUAAUGUAGUAUUGUAGUUAUAAAGUGAUUGGUGCAUUGUUAAAUACAUUCCUGACAGACUCUUUAUUCUGAUUCAAUAAAAACGGGAUCCUCU